UUAGAACCUGCUGGCUUCACUUCCUGGAGGCUUUUUGUUGUGUCUUGAAACUAGGAUCUUUGCGGGUCAUCCCUGCUUUGAUCAAAAUCAACCAUUCCUUUCCAAAAUUCAGAAGCUUCCACAACAAGUUGAUACAUUUUAUCAUUUCCCAUGUCUGAAUUACUUCCUGUUAAGAACAUGAACUGGAUUAAUAGAAAUUUCUCAGAAAAAAAUAUUCAAACACCAAGGAUCUCACUUUGUGCUGUGAAAUGCAAGAUGAGCAAUCUGAUCUGGACAUACCAGCCUUCAGUCAGGCAACAGGUGAAUAUGCAGGUAGAAUUAUAAUGUGUAAAGCCGGGUGCAGUGGCUCACGUCUAUAAUCUGAGCACUUUGGGAGACUAA
rnacentral:lncRNA from 1 species